CGGCUGUGAUGACUUCUUAGGACACCUUUGGAUUACACAUGAAAAUAACUCAGAAAGAUCUGAGCUGC